AAAAUCUCUCCCCUUCCGCAGGGUGUCAGGAUGGCCGAGUGGUCUAAGGCGCCAGACUCAAGCUCCGCUUCCCCGCGCUGGGGAUUCUGGUCUCCGAAUGGAGGCGUGGGUUCGAAUCCCACUUCUGACACAUCCUUUUUCUCCUCCUGUAAUUUUCUACGCAACGGCAUCGACUUGAGAAUUAUGCAUGGAGCUCUCAGAGACAUAUAGUAUUAAAAAUUGACUUAAAAUUUUCUCACAGAGGCUGUUAAAACACCGAAAAUAGCGAAGGCGAAAGUAUCGCGAUAUUUCUUGAAAGCCGAGUGAUUUGGGAGCGGAGAUCGCCAGACGUUGUAGCCGCUGAGGCAUCGCGAUAUAUCGGGAAACCGCGAGAUUUGGUCCGCGUAGCUGCCGGCGCUGCGGCGCGGGGAGGAGGGCGGUGAUGUUAAAUAACUUUUGGUUUUGCCUCAGGAACACAUUCCAGCCUUGUCUUAUCACUCAGGAUAAGAAUAGGAUUCCCAGGACAUGCUCAUCAUGGACAGGAUCCAGCGUUCCCAUUUGGAGGGCCAUGUUCUGAAUGCACAUAGCGGGAACCACAUGGUUCAAGUACUACAAGACAGGCUCACUCCCUGCAGUAUGAAAUUAACUGUGGUCAAGAGAAAUAGUUUCUAGGGCAAUGAUCUCCUGCAUUCCACUGGACGCGAUUCAUUUGUAUUUCUGUGAAUGAAAAUCAUUUGCACUGUUAGCAGUUUGCUACAACUGGAAGAGUUGUAAGGUAGCUGCAAAUAUAUGACAAUCUCUGUUAUGGACUGAAUGUUUGUGCCCCUCCAAAAUCCGUAUGUUGAAACCCUACCUCCUAACGUCAUGGCAUUAGGAGGUGGGAUCUGUGGAGGUAAUUAGGAUUAAGAUGUCAUAAGGGUAGAACCCUCCAGAAUGGGAUUAGGGUCUUGGUAAAGAAUCCUGAGAAACCUGCUUCCUCACUGUGCUCUUCAGCCAUGCGUGGACACAAUGGAAAGACUGCCUUCCAAACACAGGAAGGGGCCCUCACCAGAACCCAGCCUCUCGGGCCACCCUGAUGUGGGACUUUACACCUUCUGGAACCAGAAGAUACAAACUUUGGUUAGACCACCUGGUUUGUGACAUUUUGCUACAGGAGCCUUGCUAAGACAGGUGUUCUACUCAAGUAUCUUGAAAACUUUGUCUCGUCCAUUUCAAACUCCUUUCAAAACAGAACACAUCCUUCCUUAGCUCGCUAGUACACUUACGUGGAAUUGGGUUUUACAGCUGCAUUUAUUAAAGUGGAAAUAGGCAUUUAUUCA